rnacentral:rRNA from 1 species
GUGGGGAAUAUUGCGCAAUGGGCGAAAGCCUGACGCAGCGACGCCGCGUGAGGGAUGAAGGUUUUCGGAUCGUAAACCUCUGUCAGAAGGGAAGAAACUACGUUGUGCUAAUCAGCAGCGUACUGACGGUACCUUCAAAGGAAGCACCGGCUAACUCCGUGCCAGCAGCCGCGGUAAUACGGAGGGUGCAAGCGUUAAUCGGAAUUACUGGGCGUAAAGCGCACGUAGGCUGUAGUGUAAGUCAGGGGUGAAAUCCCACGGCUCAACCGUGGAACUGCCUUUGAUACUGCACAACUUGAAUCCGGGAGAGGGUGGCGGAAUUCCGGGUGUAGGAGUGAAAUCCGUAGAUAUCCGGAGGAACACCGGUGGCGAAGGCGGCCACCUGGACAGGUACUGACGCUGAGGCGCGAAAGCGUGGGGAGCAAACAGGAUUAGAUACCCCGGUAGUCC